rnacentral:lncRNA from 1 species
GCAGUUUCUAGACUGUCAAACUUAUGAACAGAGGUCCUACAAAUAUCCACCGACAGGUCUUGAUGUGAACGUUAAGUUUUCCUUUCUUUGGGAAAAACCCAUCUGGAAGGGACAGAAGACAUCUUACACAACAGAGCACAAAAACCAUAUGAUUUGAUGUUUACUGAGUAAAUAAGAGGGCUGUUAACACCUUUACCAGCAAAUGCAGAACUUGAGAACUCAGAAGACAAUUGGCUGAUACACUAACUCCAUAAAGCUCAGAAAGAUGUCUGGAAAUGCCCCAGAUCAGCCUUCUGGCUUUCCCAACAUCCUCACUCCCUGGUUAUCCUGAAACUUGUUCUGUAGUCCAGGUUGUCCUUGAAUCUAGGGAUCUUCCUGUCUCUGUCUCCUGAGUGCUGGGAUUAAAGCAAAGGAUUGAGGGACCCAGAGGGGAUAGAAACUCCACAGGAAGAUCAGUAGAGUCAACUAACCUGGACCCUUGGGGGCUCCCAGAGACCGAACCCCCAACCGAAGAGCAUGCACAGGCUGGACCUAGUGUUCCCCACCCCCAAGCAAAUGCAGCAGAUGUGGUGUUUGAUCUUCAUCUCAACAACUGGAAGCAGGAGGAGCUGUCCCCGACUCUGUUGCCUGCCUGUGGAUCCUGCUCCCCUGACUGGGCUGCCUUGUCUGGCCUAAGUGGAAGAGGAUGUGUCUAGUCUUGUAGUGACUUGAUAUGCCAGGGUGGGUUGGUACCCAGAGAGGGCCUCCUGCUUCUCAGAGGAGAAGCAGGGUGAGAGGAGUGUAAGGAGAGUGGCCAUGUGAGCAGAGGGCUGGGAGGAGAGAGGAGCUGUGAUUAGGAUGUAAAGUGAGGGCUGGAGAGAUGGUUCAGUGGUUAAGAGCACUGACUGCUCUUCCAGAGGUCCCGAGUUCAAUUCCCAGCAGCCACAUGGUGGCUUAUGACCAUCAGCAAUGGGGUCUGAUGCUCUCUUCUGGUGUGUUUGAUGAGAGCAAUGGUGAAUUAAAAAAAAGGGUGCAAAAUGUAAAGUGAGUAAAUAAAUUGGUGGAAAAAAAAUCCACCCCAUGUGGGAGACCAUCAGUAUAUUUUAAAAAUGUCUUUGGAAUAAACACUCCAAUGG